GACGAACGCUGGCGGCGUGCUUAACACAUGCAAGUCGAACGGAAAGGCCCUGCUUUUGUGGGGUGCUCGAGUGGCGAACGGGUGAGUAACACGUGAGUAACCUGCCCUUGACUUUGGGAUAACUUCAGGAAACUGGGGCUAAUACCGGAUAGGAGCUCCUGCUGCAUGGUGGGGGUUGGAAAGUUUCGGCGGGUGGGGAUGGACUCGCGGCUUAUCAGCUUGUUGGUGGGGUAGUGGCUUACCAAGGCUUUGACGGGUAGCCGGCCUGAGAGGGUGACCGGCCUCAUUGGGCCUGAGAUACGGCCCAGACUCCUACGUGGGGCAGCAGUGGGGAAUCUUGCACAAUGGGCGGAAGCCUGAUGCAGCAACGCCGCGUGCGUGAUGACGGCCUUCGGGUUGUAAACCGCUUUCGCCUGUGACGAAGCGUGAGUGACGGUAAUGGGUAAAGAAGCACCGGCUAACUACGUG
rnacentral:rRNA from 1 species